CUGGCUACUCACCCACACCGCUUCUCUGGCAGGUUCUGGCGGCUCCUGCAGCAGAAGACAAGGGAGACCGCUAGGGGCUCCCCGCCCAGACUGUUUAUGUAGGGUUAAUACCCGAACCCCGCGCAUCACAGCGCCAACCUUGCUGUCACUGCGUCCUGCGAGCUAGAAUUUCUUACAGGUGUCGGCGGAGGUUUGCAGCCCGAGGCUCUCACUUCAGCGGACUCGUCCGAGCUGUCCGAGCUCCGUUGGGUCAGCGGCAGGACUGGAGAUGUUUGAGACCUUGCAAAUGAUUAAACGUGUCUUCCUUGCGCUGGUCCUGGCGCCGUGCGCGCUUUCCCAGCUGCAGCUGGUGGCCUCCAGCCCUGGGGUGGGCAAAGUCUCUGAGCCCCUCACACUGACCUGUGCUGUCUCCGGAUUCUCCAUCACUGACAGCAGCUACAUUUGGAACUGGAUCCGGCAGCCCCCCGGGAAAGGGCUGGAGUGGAUGGGGUAUGUGUACCCGUAUAGUAGCGGGAGCACAAGCUACGCCCAGUCUCUCCAGGGCCGAAUCACCAUCUCUGCAGACACCGCCAGGAACCAGUUCUCCCUGCAGCUCCGCUCCUUGACAGCUGCAGAUACUGGCACCUAUUACUGCGCCGGGGGAGACACGGUGACACAGAGACAGGGGGCCUGGGACAAAAAGGGGACCAGCCACACGCUUCCCCUCCCGGAGAGAAGGCACUUGACUUUGCCCCUGCGGUCCGCCCCUUUCCACUGUCACUUAAAGGAGACGCUUUGUCAGAGGCCACCAGGAAACUGGAGAGAAGGAGAGAAAAAGGAAGCACCUGCGCUUUCGAAUGGGGAGGAGAGGGACUUUGUUACAGGCAUCUGGCAGUUUUGGAAACCCCAAUCUAGGCCUGAAAUUGCAACUGAAUCUCCUGUCCGCUGA